GGAGUUGAGGUAGGGAAGGGAGUUGAGGUAGGGAAGGGAGUUGAGGUAGGGAAGGGAGUUGAGGUAGGGAAGGGAGUUGAGGUAGGGAAAGGAGUUGAGGUAGGGAAGGGAGUUGAGGUAGGGAAGGGAGUUGAGGUAGGGAAGGGAGUUGAGGUAGGGAAGGGAGUUGAGGUAGGGAAAGGAGUUGAGGUAGGGAAGGGAGUUGAGGUAGGGAAGGGAGUUGAGGUCGGGAAGGGAGUUGAGGUCGGGAAGGGAGUUGAGGUCGGGAAGGGAGUUGAGGUCGGGAAGGGAGUUGGGGUCGGGAAGGGAGUUGAGGUAGGGAAGGGAGUUGAGGUAGGGAAGGGAGUUGAGGUAGGGAAGGGAGUUGAGGUAGGGAAGGGAGUUGAGGUAGGGAAGGGAGUUGAGGUAGGGAAGGGAGUUGAGGUAGGGAAGGGAGUUGAGGUAGGGAAGGGAGUUGAGGUAGGGAAGGGAGUUGAGGUAGGGAAGGGAGUUGAGGUAGGGAAGGGAGUUGAGGUAGGGAAGGGAGUUGAGGUAGGGAAGGGGGUUGAGGUAAGGAAGGGAGUUGAGGUAGGGAAGGGAGUUGAGGUAGGGAAGGGAGUUGAGGUAGGGAAGGGAGUUGAGGUAGGGAAGGGAGUUGAGGUAGGGAAGGGGACUUCUUGCCUUGGCCCGUAUCUAGUUAAGGGAAGGAGGGAAGGACGAGCAGGUAUAAGCAAGAGGAAGGGCUGGGCAGUGACUGUGUUCCUCGCCAGAGUCGUGGUCUGGGACGCGAUGCAGCCGACCGAGCCAACCGCUGGGGCUCCUCUCAUUAACAUUCCAUCCGCUCACCUGAGGCUUCACGAGGGAACCUAACUGCAAAGGCUCGCCCGCAGGAAGACUUGAGUAGGUUAUGCGAGUGUUAGGUGCGACGGGGUGCGGCGUCCAUCCUCAGUCUCGCAAGAAUAGUGAAUUCUAAUUCCAUGUUCUUUCCUCCCCUCUUUCUCCCAUUCUUAGACAAGGAUACACAAGGACAUAAGGAGACAACAAGAGGCUAAUAAGCCUACACAUUACAAUUCGAGCCCCUUUUUUCCACAUGUGAAAAUUUGUGUAUAUAUAUUUUCUUAGGAUUAUGUGGGGAAUUAUUUUGAGAGAACGUUCAUUACACACUUUCAAAAAUUAUCGACGAUACAAUGACUGCAUAUUGCACGUUGUUCGCCGCCCCUAACAUAAAAGAUACAACAGUAAUCACUGGCAAUGGACGUAGGAACGGGCAUUAUGCAGAUACAAAUCAACAUAAUCAAAUGUAAUGUUCAAGUAAGGCAUCCCACUCUGCCUUCCUACACAGUUCCUGCAGACGAGAAAAAAAAACAAAAAAAAACAGCGCAACGAAGCAAAUAUCAAAGCGUUGAUGUUAAAACUAAUAUGAAAAGGUCAUUGAUAAACAUUCCUGGAGGUCGAUGAAAACACCAUAUCGCUGCAAGCACGCCCAUCAAGAAGAGCGCGGCAGUGUGACUGAACAGAUAAAAAAUAAAAAUAAAACUAGUACUAACGGUCUAUAUAAGCAGAUAAGGGCUACUCGUUUCUACACGCCGAGGAAAGCACCUUAUCGGACCAAAGCGUGGCACAAUAACAACGAACAAGGCAAUAAUUAGAGCUACCGCAAAGCCUGUGUCUGAAAAGGUUUUAACACCGCCCCCUUCCUCCCGGAGCCACCAUGCGUAGCCUACAGCUUUCCACAAAUUACCUUAUGCUGCCAUGCUAGAUUUUCCUUACGGAUGGAAUACAGGCCAAGGGGUAAAAGGAAGUAUGUAUUAAAAAGGCCAGCAAUACGUAACUUCAAUAUAAGAGGAUGUCAAAAAUAAUGAUCAAAUUCAGUUCCAAAGGUCUCAUAAUACUUUUCUCUUGAAAGAGUUUCGGUCCCAGGAAGAAGGAAAUAUAUAAGAGGAUAGGCUGUUCCAGAGUAUACCUUUGAUAAUGAUGAAAGGGUAUAGAGCGAUUAUACCAGAUGAAGGUACAUAAUGAACCGGUAAAGGCUAACACAGUGAACAACGUACUGGUUAAGGCUAACGCAGUGGGAUACACUGGAUAACGGCUAACAUACUGAACACAGUGGUGAAGGCUAACACACUGAAGACACUGGGUAAAGGCUAACAUACUCAACGUACUGGUAAAGGCUAACACAUUGAAGACACUGGGUAAAGGCUAACAUACUCAACGUACUGGUAAAGGCUAACACACUGACCGUACUGGUAAAGGCUAACACACUGAACGUACUGGUAAAGGCUAACACACUGAACGUACUGGUAAAGGCUAACACACUGAACGAACUGGUAAAGGCUUACACACUGAACGUACUGGUAAAGGCUAACACACUGAACGUACUGGUAAAGGCUUACACACUGAACGUACUGGUAAAGGCUAACACACUGAACGUACUG